rnacentral:rRNA from 1 species
GAUGAACGCUGGCGGCGUGCCUAAUACAUGCAAGUCGAGCGAACGGACGAGAAGCUUGCUUCUCUGAUGUUAGCGGCGGACGGGUGAGUAACACGUGGAUAACCGACCUAUAAGACUGGGAUAACUUCGGGAAACCGGAGCUAAUACCGGAUAAUAUGUUGAACCGCAUGGUUCAAAAGUGAAAGACGGUCUUGCUGUCACUUAUAGAUGGAUCCGCGCUGCAUUAGCUAGUUGGUAAGGUAACGGCUUACCAAGGCAACGAUGCAUAGCCGACCUGAGAGGGUGAUCGGCCACACUGGAACUGAGACACGGUCCAGACUCCUACGGGAGGCAGCAGUAGGGAAUCUUCCGCAAUGGGCGAAAGCCUGACGGAGCCACGCCGCGUGAGUGAUGAAGGUCUUCGGAUCGUAAAACUCUGUUAUUAGGGAAGAACAUAUGUGUAAGUAACUGUGCACAUCUUGACGGUACCUACUCAGAAAGCCACGGCUAACUACGUG